AUGGCCGGGAGCGCCAGAACCCCCUCCUCCUAUGAAUCGAUUCGUUCACCCUCCUGUCCGUCACCUUCCUCGCGUAUACCGGCAGGUGGUUGCAGACGGAGUCGUAGGCCGCCGCGGCGCUGCGCAGGAUGGCGCUCCUUCACGCCGCUUGAUGCGCCCCGGAUGAUGGAUCUGCCUCAGUACAAUGGAACGAGGAUUCUAACGUGUUGUAUGCACUCUACUUCUGCACAACGUGAUUUGCAAGGCGAUCACAAAGAAAGCCUGUAUUGGGGGACUUGCAGGCCAAUUGUAUAUCUCAGAAUUCGUGCUAGGCACUUAACUAUCCAACCCCAACUUGCUUGGGACAAAAGGACCGAAGACAUUCGUAUUGCUAGCAGCAUUAGUUUUUAUGCAAAGUGGGAAGCUUUAAUCUGCCGGACAUGA
rnacentral:rRNA from 1 species